rnacentral:rRNA from 1 species
UACGGAGGAUCCAAGCGUUAUCCGGAUUCAUUGGGUUUAAAGGGUGCGUAGGCGGAAUUGUAAGUCAGUGGUGAAAUCUGUGGGCUUAACCCACAAACUGCCAUUGAUACUGCAAAUCUUGAGUACAUUUGAUGAGGGCGGAAUGUGUCAUGUAGCGGUGAAAUGCUUAGAUAUGACACAGAACACCGAUUGCGAAGGCAGCUCUCAAAACUGUAACUGACGCUGAGGCACGAAAGCGUGGGUAUCAAACAGG